ensembl:lncRNA
AAAACAUUCCACUCAACAGCAACAGAAUACACAUUCUUGUCAGAACCCCAUGGAACACAGAAAUCAUAUCCUGAGUGAGGAACCAACCUCAACAAAUUUAAAGAAAUUAAAAUUAUUCAAAAAAUCAUUCAGAGCAUGUUCAUCAAGCAGAAUGGAUUCAAACUAGAAGUCAAAAUACAAAGCCUCUUCACGAUGGUAUCUGGGAUAAAACAAGAACAUAUACAGAACAUCCUAAAUGUCUUUAAGGUAAAACAUUAUACAGGACAUGAAUCUUUCAUGAAAAGUCUUGUUUGGGAAUUAGUCAUACCUUGCAAGAAUAAAUCAUAUUCAUGUCAACUUGGCUUCAUCAAAAUUUCAUGAAGAAAGAGCUUCACAAUUGUGUACAACAACAUAUAAAUUAUAUUUGAUCCAGGUGUAAUAAAGAAUAUGAAGACUAUGAAAAAAAUAAAGAAAAAUAAAUUAAUUCCCCAC